GACGAACGCUGGCGGCGUGCUUAACACAUGCAAGUCGAACGGAAAGGCCCUGCUUUUGUGGGGUGCUCGAGUGGCGAACGGGUGAGUAACACGUGAGUAACCUGCCCUUGACUUUGGGAUAACUUCAGGAAACUGGGGCUAAUACCGGAUAGGAGCUCCUGCUGCAUGGUGGGGGUUGGAAAGUUUCGGCGGUUGGGGAUGGACUGGCGGCUUAUCAGCUUGUUGGUGGGGUAGUGGCUUACCAAGGCCUCGACGGGUAGCCGGCCUGGGAGGGGGACCGGCGACAUUGGGACUGAGAUACGGACCAGAAGCCUACGGGAGGCAGCAGUGGGGAAUAUUGCACAAUGGGCGGAAGCCUGAUGCAGCAACGCCGCGUGCGGGAUGACGGCCUUCGGGUUGUAAACCGCUUUCGCCUGUGACGAAGCGUGAGUGACGGUAAUGGGUAAAGAAGCACCGGCUAACUACGUG
rnacentral:rRNA from 1 species